rnacentral:rRNA from 2 species
AAUAAGCGGAGGAAAAGAAACCAACAGGGAUUGCCCCCAGUAACGGCGAAGUGAAGCGGCAAAAGCUCAAAUUUGAAAUCUGGCUCCCAUCGGGGGUCCGAGUUGUAAUUUGCAGAGGAUGCUUCGGGUUGCGACCGCGGCGCAAGUCCCUUGGAACAGGGCGUCGCAGAGGGUGAGAAUCCCGUCUUGAGUCGCUGGUACGCGCCCGUGCGAAGCUCCUUCGACGAGUCGAGUUGUUUGGGAAUGCAGCUCUAAGUGGGUGGUAAAUUUCAUCUAAAGCUAAAUAUUGGCCGGAGACCGAUAGCGCACAAGUAGAGUGAUCGAAAGGUUAAAAGCACCUUGAAAAGGGAGUUAAACAGCACGUGAAAUUGUUGAAAGGGAAGCGCUUGCGACCAGACUCGGGCGCGGGGGUUCAGCGGGCAUGCUUGCCCGUGUACUCCCCCGCGUUCCGGGCCAGCAUCAGUUUCGACGGCCGGUCAAAGGCCCCCGGAAUGUGUCGUCCUCCGGGACGUCUUAUAGCCGGGGGUGCAAUGCGGCCAGUCGGGACUGAGGAACGCGCUUCGGCACGGAUGCUGGCGUAAUGGUCGUAAGCGACCCGUCUUGAAACACGGACCAAGGAGUCUAACAUCCACGCGAGUGUUCGGGUGUCAAACCCGUGCGCGCAGUGAAAGCGAACGGAGGUGGGAGCCCCCUCGGGGCGCACCAUCGACCGAUCCUGAAGUCUUCGGAUGGAUUUGAGUAUGAGCGUGGCUGUUGGGACCCGAAAGAUGGUGAACUAUGCCUGAAUAGGGUGAAGCCAGAGGAAACUCUGGUGGAGGCUCGCAGCGGUUCUGACGUGCAAAUCGAUCGUCAAAUUUGGGUAUAGGGGCGAAAGACUAAUCGAACCAUCUGGUAGCUGGUCUGCU